GUGCUUGCUUCAGCAGCACAUAUACUAAAACUGGAAUGAUAGAGUGGGUUAGCAUGGACCCUGCACAAGAAUGACACACAAAUUCUUAAAGCAUUCCAUAUUUAA
ensembl:snRNA U6 U6 spliceosomal RNA